rnacentral:lncRNA from 10 species
GUUUGCCCUUACACUAAAUGGUCCCAAGUGUUUAUGUGGUUCUGACACUGCCGUCCAGUGUGAGUUGUCCCCGAUACCAUUGUCAAUAUGCCUGAGAAAAAAAGUAAUUUCCUGCCUUAUUCUACACACAGCAUUUUAUACCUAGUCUGAGCGAGAAUCUGAGAGUGAUCUUUCCUAUAGUAUAGAGUAGGGUACAUGGAUCUUUUCACAAUAAGCUGCUGCUCGGAGGCAUUUGUCACUUCUGAGUUUGCAACUGUGUCAGAGGCCCCCAGAAGGCUGCUUCCAGUGAAGUGAGGUAUUAACACUGAAUAGAUUUGGAUAUACUCCUGGUCACAGUCCGUUCA